UUUUUUUAUGUUAUGUUGGUACACUUGUCCCGAACAUCUGUACACAGUUUCAAGUGUAUAGCAUGUUUAGUUUGUUUUUGACAGAUACAAAGGUGAGACGUAUUUUGGAGUGCUCGGCGAUUUUUUGCUAUCAAGAAAAAUGGAUCAAAGAAUUUGCAUCAAAUUUUGUGUAAAAAAUGGAAUUAAGUGCUCCAAAACACUUGAAAUGUUGACAGUGGCAUACGGUGAGUCUACUCUUAGUAAAAAAAACGUUUAUAAGUGGUACAAGCUCUUCCAAGAUGGCCGAGAAGAUGCCAAUGACGAACCUCGCUCUGGACGCCCCAGCACGUCAACAACAGAUGAAAACGUUGAAGCAGUGAAGAAAAUUGUUUUGGAAAAUCGUCGAAUCACUAUCAGAGAAGUUGCUGAGGAUGUUGGCAUAUCGGUUGGCUCCAAAACAAUUUUGUUCAC
rnacentral:lncRNA from 1 species